UCUUAUGGGUGAGCAGAGAAAGUGGAUUCUUGAGACACAAUCUACUUCCGGUGAAGAUGCUGUGAA
rnacentral:pre_miRNA from 1 species